rnacentral:rRNA from 1 species
CAGCAGCCGCGGGAAUACAGAGGGUGCGAUCGUUAAUCGGAUUUACUGGGCGUAAAGCGUGCGUAGGCGGCUUCUUAAGUCGGAUGUGAAAUCCCUGAGCUUAACUUAGGAAUUGCAUUCGAUACUGGGAAGCUAGAGUAUGGGAGAGGAUGGUAGAAUUCCAGGUGUAGCGGUGAAAUGCGUAGAGAUCUGGAGGAAUACCGAUGGCGAAGGCAGCCAUCUGGCCUAAUACUGACGCUGAGGUACGAAAGCAUGGGGAGCAAACAGGAUUAGAUACCCCAGUAGUCCCUGUCUCUUAUAC